CCACGGGUGAGUAACACGUAUCCAACCUGCCGUCUACUCUUGGACAGCCUUCUGAAAGGAAGAUUAAUACAAGAUGGCAUCAUGAGUCCGCAUGUCCACAUGAUUAAAGGUAUUCCGGUAGACGAUGGGGAUGCGUUCCAUUAGAUAGUAGGCGGGGUAACGGCCCACCUAGUCUUCGAUGGAUAGGGGUUCUGAGAGGAAGGUCCCCCACAUUGGAACUGAGACACGGUCCAA
rnacentral:rRNA from 1 species